ACUCGUGCUCGAAGGCAGGCAGGACCAGCUGGUGGCGUUUGAAGCGGCUCUGCUCCAUGCGGGGCCUGGAACCACGUGUUCCUAUUCCAACCCUGAGCUGAGGAACCCACAGGCCAGGUUAGGACGUGUCACAUGCCUGCCCACAGGGCCAGGAAAGCUGAGGCUCCCAGAGAUUAAAGUCACACAGCUGGGCGUCAGGGAUACAGAGUUGACAGCAUCGCAGCUGGCUCCCCACCACCUUGCCUACCUG